rnacentral:lncRNA from 1 species
UAUCUUUGAGUUUUGCAAAAUCUGGAGUUGUAGUGAAUUUCGUCAAUGUAAUAUUCUAAGCGUUUAGUUUGGUAAAAUAAGUAUUGGAAUGAUUGAAUUUUGAAAUAGUUGUCUUUGAAGUUGAACCUUUAACAGGAGUAGUAGGUGCGGGAGCUUUAACUAUUUGAGAGUACGGGAGUUCUGGGAAUUCUGCAAGGGCUUGGAAUUGAUUCGGAUUAUUUGGAUUGUAUCGACUCAUGCUUUUC